rnacentral:tRNA from 1 species
GCAGUGAGUUCAAUGGCAGAGUGCUUGCCUAGCAUGCAUGAGGCCUUGGGUUUGAUCCCCAAUACUGCA